UGGGGAAUAUUGCACAAUGGGGGAAACCCUGAUGCAGCGACGCCGCGUGAACGAGGAAGGUAUUCGUAUCGUAAAGUUCUGUCCUAUGGGAAGAUAAUGACAGUACCAUAGAAGAAAGCUCCGGCUAAAUACGUGCCAGCAGCCGCGGUAAUACGUAUGGAGCGAGCGUUGUCCGGAAUUAUUGGGCGUAAAGGGUACGCAGGCGGUUUAAUAAGUCGAAUGUUAAAGAUCGGGGCUCAACCCCGCAAAGCAUUGGAAACUGAUAAACUUGAGUAGUGGAGAGGAAAGUGGAAUUCCUAGUGUAGUGGUGAAAUACGUAGAUAUUAGGAGGAAUACCAGUAGCGAAGGCGACUUUCUGGACACAAACUGACGCUGAGGUACGAAAGCGUGGGGAGCAAAGAGG
rnacentral:rRNA from 1 species